GGGGGGGGGGGGGGGGGGGGGGGGGGGGGGGGGGGCGGGCGGGGGCGGGCGGGGUCGGGGGGCGCACGGGGGCGUAACGCGUGGGAGUCUGCCCUGCGGGUCGGCAUGCCGGUUAGAAAUGACUGCUAAUACCGGAUGCUGACGUUAAGUCCAAAGAUUUAUCGCCUGAGGAUGAGCCCGCGUAGGAUUAGCUAGUUGGUGUGGUAAAGGCGCACCAAGGCGACGAUCCUUAGCUGGUCUGAGAGGAUGAUCAGCCACACUGGGACUGAGACACGGCCCAGACUCCUACGGGAGGCAGCAGUGGGGAAUAUUGGACAAUGGGCGCAAGCCUGAUCCAGCAAUGCCGCGUGAGUGAUGAAGGCCUUAGGGUUGUAAAGCUCUUUUACCCGGGAUGAUAAUGACAGUACCGGGAGAAUAAGCCCCGGCUAACUCCGUG
rnacentral:rRNA from 1 species